rnacentral:ncRNA from 1 species
GUUCGGCACCUUAUGAGUCGAAUCAAGGGGUGCCUAGAGUGGUAACACUCUACAAAAACAAGUGGCUUAUAACGGUGAACUCCAUAUAUAAUUAUGUAUGGACAAUACCGUGGGAAGUCUAACUCAAGCUAAAAUGUCUUUAUAUUUAGUCUCUUUUCAUCAAGGGACGCUUGUGUUAUGACCCCGUAGAGACUUUCUAUAUAACAUAUAGAAGAAUCCAAAGAAACUGGAUUAAUACGCCAACUCCAAUGCUAGAAAUCAUUGGAUGAAGAUAUAGUCCGAUCCCAUUAGUAAUAGUGGU